rnacentral:lncRNA from 1 species
AACAACAUAGGCGCAUGGGCUUUGAGCUGCAGACCCAUGGAAAUCUAUCCCAGCCAAUGGGGGUUUAGUGAGUAAGCCUGCCACAAUAUGGUUCAGCAAUUGGCCUAAGGCUCACUGCCAAAUCUGGAGCCAACAUCAAACAACAAGAAGUAUGGAUAAGGGUAUGUGAAUGUGAUUGACUCAUGCAUGCGCAACCACAGUCUUAAAUGCACGUGGCCUUGGAAAACUGCUGCAGUGAAUGAUGAUUAAUGGACCUAAGUGUUUAAAGCACGUGAAGAAAAAGUUUGAAUGAAAUCCAAAACGCCCGUUCCUUCCACAUCCUUUUUCAACCAUUGUCUCUGUCGUGCCAGAGGCUACCUCGACAGCGGAGCUAACCAGAAACCAACAAACUAACCUUCAAACUUAUUCCUCUCAACCUCCACCUCCUAAAUCUGAACUCUACUUAACCUAAUUUUCCUGGAAUCGAAAGAAUCACAGCGUUUAAAUUUCUCAGGUUAGGGUUUUAAUUUCUUAAGCCAAACACUACAUGUUAGUAACUUAGGCAAGGUGAAAAGGAAGACUCGAGACUAACCUACAGAACAGAGAUUUGCUCCGGUCGGAGUCAAAUUCGAUACAGAUGCGGAUGAAGACUAACACUGCAAGUAAGCUUCAAUUCCCUAGCUCUUGUACUUCGAUUGGUCCUUCUUCUUCUUCUUCCCCGAUCUCUAGUCUGUAGGCACAGUGUGGUUGUUCCGAUCAUUUGUGCGCGUGAGUGACAAAGUGGUGAUUGCUUGAGAUGAUUGAGAGUUGUGAUGUUGAUGAAGAGAGAUCGUGAGUGAUUCUGAGAUGAAAUUGCAGAGAGAUUAGAGAGUGAUUUGGGAUUAUGAGAUUGUGAUUUGUGAUUCUGAUCGAUCCCCCGAAACUGGUGAAUGAUGAAGGUACUUAUAGAGGUUGGAUUUAACAGAGAUCAAACUAUGUUAAAUCAUAUUAGCAUGAGUUAGUUGGAGAUCUCCAUUCCAUUAGUUUGCUCCGUUAGAAGUUAGUUAUAGGAUUCAGUUAAGUGUUAGUUUCGAUUUGAAGUGUUAGUUAGGGUUAGCUUGAGAUUCGUGAGCUGUUUAGUGAAAUGAUCUACUAUUUGUCAGAUUUAGAGUUUCAGUUAGUUAAGAGAAGAAAACGAAAAAAAAACAGUUAGUUGAUUUCCAGUUAGUGGGAAUGUUAGUAGUUAAGCUCAGUUAGUGUCAACUGUUAGUUGAAAUGCCAUUUGCCAGUCAAAAUGUAAACUGUUGAUUUUUGCUUGGUCAUGAUAAGUCCUUAUUCUGUGUAUGAUUAUCCUGUUAUGAGGUCCUUGUUUGGAAUGUUGGAAUGGCUGCACUAUGAGUUGUUUGCAAAAUAGAACUGUAACUGAAGUGGCUUAUUAUUCCAAAUUAUUUUUUGUCCAAUGGUGCUUCUGCCAUACUAUCAAUAUUACUUUCUUUUUUUCGCUGGAUUUGAAUGAUCAAUUGAUGAUGGUUGUGGUGUACUGUUUUGCAGACUUGUAGUUUAGACUUGCUUGAUGUAUAGCCAUUGUUUGUUGUAGGUUGUGAAUGGUUAGGUUGUGAGUCAUGGUGCUGCAGAAUUUUUGCAGGUGUAUCAUGCAUGUGUUGCUUCAUGUUGUGUUCUGCAGCAUAUGUGUAGUACUAAUGUCCAUUGCAUUCAUUCUAACUUUCUUCAUCAUGCCCUGGUUUUGUAUGUGUAUUCCAUUCGUGUUGAUGAUUUAGGUCUUGGUCCUUACUUAUGCAAUUCUGAGUUAGACUAACAUGGCCUAUGUUUGCAACAUGUGUGCAUGUGUAUUCUGACUUUGUGGUUGUAUCUCAUGCCUUGCCUUAUUUUGUAGGAGUUUUAUGGAAGAGCAAAGCUUGGCUUUGAAAGAAAUGGUGACAUGAAGCAUGAAGUGCAUGAUCAUGAAGUUGGUGGAUGAAGAAAUUUGGACUAGGUUCAAUUCUUAACUGGUUGGAUUUUUGGUCAUGAAAAGUGUGGUUGAAUAUGAAUGUUAGGAACUUAGAUUAGACAUUAGUUCAUGCUUGUUUGGGAUGGUUUUGUAAUUUGUAAUGUGUUUUCCAUGGAAACUAUGUAUGAACAUGGCUUUCUAAAUGAAAGUCUUGAAAGUUUAUGGAAUUAUAUGGAAAGUCCCAUUGAAUUUUGAAAUUUGUAUGACACUUGAAUGUUUGGAAAUUGGUUGAUUUAUGGCUUAUGAUGAAAUCAUGUGAGAGGAAAUGAAAAUAGAAAUGAAAGUUGAAUGCUGAAUGGCAAAUACAAUG